rnacentral:rRNA from 1 species
GACGAACGCUGGCGGCGUGCCUAAUACAUGCAAGUAGAACGCACAGUUUAUACCGUAGCUUGCUACACCAUAGACUGUGAGUUGCGAACGGGUGAGUAACGCGUAGGUAACCUGCCUGGUAGCGGGGGAUAACUAUUGGAAACGAUAGCUAAUACCGCAUAAUAUUGAUUAUUGCAUGAUAAUUGAUUGAAAGAUGCUAUUGCAUCACUACCAGAUGGACCUGCGUUGUAUUAGCUAGUAGGUGAGGUAACGGCUCACCUAGGCGACGAUACAUAGCCGACCUGAGAGGGUGAGCGGCCAGCCUGGGAGUGAGACACGGCCCAGACUCAUACGGGAGGCAGCAGUAGGGAAACGUCGGCAAGGGACGAAAGUCUGACCGAGAAACGCCGCGUGAGGGAAGAGGGAUUUCGGAUCGUAAAGCUCUGUUGUAAGGGAAGAACGGGUGUGAGAGUGGAAAGUUCACAGUGUGACGGUAUCUUACCAGAAAGGGACGGCUAACUACGUG